CUGAGGCCUGAAUAAAAAAGGAAGAAGAUGAAGAUGCAGAAAGAGCUCCAUCAAGUCUUCCAUGGAAGAGAAUAAAGCAAAGAGACUCACCGACGGUCGGAGCAAAUGAUGGUGCUGGUAGACUACACAACGUCUUUUUCAGCUUUGUAUGCGAUGCUGUGGAUGGCUCGUGUGCUCGUAAUCUCAAUCAAGGCAUAUAUACUUUCAUGUAGCUAUUAGAUCUAUGAUGAAAGAAGUUUGCAAGUGACCGACCUCAAAGAUAUUGAAAGAUCAUGAAAUUGAAAGUUCAGUGGACGUGGCUCUCUGUGAAAGAUGCAACCUUGCUGAUGAUAGAAGGAGGAACCAGAUCUGGAAAUCUAGAUGGGUGGAGAAACUCAGAUUGGUGUGUGAUAGGAUGAUGUUGGUGGAAGGAGCAAGAAGGAAAAAAAGGAGAAGAAAGAAAAAUGAAAAGAAAAAAUGGGUAUUUUUGUAAUUUAGGAGGGGAACAGUAACUGCACCACCGUGAGUCAGUUUCAAAACAACCCACGGUAGGCGCAGCCGUGUUCUGUGCACCUUAUUAGAAUGUUGGCAAUUCAAAUUAAGUUUGAAUGACAGCCAAAGUGUGGGGAACAAAUUUGUCCUCUUUUUCCUUUUCUUUUUCCCUUUAUUCCCUCUUAUUAGUUGGCUGACGUUUUUAUUUCUCACUUGUCAAUUAUUACAUAUAUAGUACAUCCUUUUAUUUAUUUACUGCUUCUGGCCCCAUUCUCAGCUAAAAUCCAAUUUACAUGCAUUACAUGGUAUAUAUAAGUUGAUUUUAGCUUUUCAUAAUGUUAGAGUACUAGCUAGUCAAUAUGCUUCAUUAAUUUCAUUGUCCCCCCUUCAAUCAUCUGUGACAUGCUGUUCUCCUCUCAGUUGCUAAGAUUCCAACAUCAUAUGCUAACAAUGUGUCUAUCUAGUAUCUACUUUCAAAAAAAAUGUGUCUAUCUACCUACCUACCUUGUACCUUAAGUCCAUGAAAAUAUUUCACUAUGUUGAGAAUAUUGAUUUUGAUGAAGGUGUCUUUGAUGGUGGUGGUAUUGGAAAGGAGAAGAUAUGCAUCUUAUUUUAGCCUUUGAUGAGAGCAUGUCAGAUUAACAUUUGAUGCCUUUUCAUGAAUGUUCAAAAGAGCGUCAAUACCAAGCUAGCAAAUGACAAUUGACAAGAGAGUUUGUGAGCUAGCAAAUGUUGGAAAUGUAAAUCACAUUAUAAUAGAACACACACAGUAGCAGCAAUACUUAUUAUUUGUUCAGAGUGACACUUACUUUUUUUUAAUCUAAGUUUCAUUUCCUGUUUAUUGGAAUGUAUGAUAUUAUAUCAGGGCCUUGGUAUACAAACAGUAUUAAUUGAUUAAAGGAUGGAAAAUGAGUGAAUAAUUGUAAAGCAAACUGAGGCUAUUCUCUAGCUGUAGCAUAGGAUUUGCAGUUGCACAGUUUUGUAUCCCAGUUUGUUA